GUCAAUAGCCUAACGGCUGAACCAGCAACUUGGAGGAAUGUAUAGCGAAAGCUAAUUGCAUUAAACGUAACGCAAUAUCAACAAUGUUGAAUAAAAUUCUGGGUAAUAUUUUGAUAAUGACAAUUUUUAUCCAUAUGUCUUGACCAAAUUACGUGCCAGCAGUCGCGGUAACACGUUGAAGACUAGUGUUAUUCAUCUUUAAUAGGUUUAAAGGGUACUUAGACGGCAAAUAAAGCCUUAAUUGGUACUAAUUUGCUAGAGUUACUUACGAGGGGGCCUAAAAGUACUAUUGGUUUAGAGAUAAAAUUCUUCGAGACCACUUAUCAAUGGAUAAAAAAUGGCACAGGUAAAGGCGAAAGCGUCUCCCUAUGUGAUAACUGACGUUGAAGUACGAAGGCUUUGAAUAGCGAAUAGGAUUAGAUACCCUAGUAGUCGAAGCAGAGAAUGAUGAGUGUCAUAAACUAGAUUGAAUUUAGUUUAUAAAUGAAAGUGUAAGCACUCCACCUUAUGAGUAAAGUGGCAACGCCGGAAUUGAAAUCAUUAGACCGUUUCUGAAACCAGUAGUGAAGUAUGUUGUUUAAUUUGAUAAUCCACAAAAAACCUUACCACAACUUGAAUAUUUAUACAUUGCUUAAAUCUAUAACUAAUGUAUAUUUACAAGCGUUGCACGGCUGUCUUGCAGUUAAUG
rnacentral:rRNA from 1 species